CUAGAAUAUAAAAAAUGUAUAAAGUAUAGUACAUAUAGAAUAGAUAAUGAAAAAUAGAUAAUAUAUAAAAGGAUAUAGUUAUAGAUUUACAUUUUGAUUUAUAUAUAUAUUGAUAUUAAAGUGUUUUUUUGUUCAUUUUUGCCAUAUAUACACAUACAAACACACACGUGUACGGUUUAUAACACGUUGGAAAUAUAGUGUUAAUUAUGACUACGACAUGUGUAGUUAUUUACGAGUUUUCCAUUUUUUUUAUACAAAUUAAAAUAAUUUGUAUAGUAAAAAUAUAGACUAAGACUAAUUUGUUUCUAAAUUAUUUCGCGUUACCAUCGAUUUGGGGCUAUCUUCUAUUUCUUUUGUGCAGAGAAAUAAAUAAUUAGAAAAUAGAUACUACUAAUACUUUUUAGCCGUUUUUUCCCUCUUUUUCAAAAAUUGAAAAAUCAGCUAAAAAUGGACGAAAAGUAAAGGCUAGAUAGAGCCUUACUUUUUUGCUGUUUUUUCCCUAUUUAUGAAAAAUGAAAAAUAGGCUAAAAAUGGACGAAAAGUAAAGGCUAUAGCCUUACAUUUUUGCUGUCUUUUCCCUAUUUAUGAAAAAUGAAAAAAGGCUAAAAAUGGACGAAAAGGAAAGGCUAUA